ACGAACGCUGGCGGCACGCUUAACACAUGCAAGUCGAACGAGAGAAGAGAAGCUUGCUUUUCUGAUCUAGUGGCGGACGGGUGAGUAACACGUGAGCAAUCUGCCUUUCAGAGGGGGAUACCGAUUGGAAACGAUCGUUAAUACCGCAUAAUAUAAUUGAACCGCAUGAUUUGAUUAUCAAAGAUUUAUCGCUGAAAGAUGAGCUCGCGUCUGAUUAGCUAGUUGGUAAGGUAACGGCUUACCAAGGCGACGAUCAGUAGCCGGACUGAGAGGUUGAUCGGCCACAUUGGGACUGAGACACGGCCCAGACUCCUACGGGAGGCAGCAGUGGGGAAUAUUGCACAAUGGAGGAAACUCUGAUGCAGCGAUGCCGCGUGAGGGAAGAAGGUUUUAGGAUUGUAAACCUCUGUCUUCAGGGACGAAAAAAGACGGUACCUGAGGAGGAAGCUCCGGCUAACUACGUGCCAGCAGCCGCGGUAAUACGUAGGGAGCGAGCGUUGUCCGGAAUUACUGGGUGUAAAGGGAGCGUAGGCGGGAUCGCAAGGCAGAUGUGAAAACUAUGGGCUUAACCCAUAAACUGCAUUUGAAACUGUGGUUCUUGAGUGAAGUAGAGGUAAGCGGAAUUCCUAGUGUAGCGGUGAAAUGCGUAGAUAUUAGGAGGAACAUCAGUGGCGAAGGCGGCUUACUGGGCUUUAACUGACGCUGAGGCUCGAAAGCGUGGGGAGCAAACAGGAUUAGAUACCCUGGUAGUCCACGCCGUAAACGAUGAUUACUAGGUGUGGGGGGACUGACCCCUUCCGUGCCGCAGCAAACGCAAUAAGUAAUCCACCUGGGGAGUACGACCGCAAGGUUGAAACUCAAAGGAAUUGACGGGGGCCCGCACAAGCAGUGGAGUAUGUGGAUUAAUUCGAAGCAACGCGAAGAACCUUACCAGGUCUUGACAUCGUAUGCAUAGCUCAGAGAUGAGUGAAAUCUCUUCGGAGACAUAUAGACAGGUGGUGCAUGGUUGUCGUCAGCUCGUGUCGUGAGAUGUUGGGUUAAGUCCCGCAACGAGCGCAACCCUUACUGUUAGUUGCUACGCAAGAGCACUCUAGCAGGACUGCCGUUGACAAAACGGAGGAAGGUGGGGAUGACGUCAAAUCAUCAUGCCCCUUAUGACCUGGGCCUCACACGUACUACAAUGGCUGUUAACAGAGGGAUGCAAAGCCGCGAGGUGGAGCGAACCCCUAAAAGCAGUCUUAGUUCGGAUUGUAGGCUGCAACCCGCCUACAUGAAGUCGGAAUUGCUAGUAAUCGCAGAUCAGCAUGCUGCGGUGAAUACGUUCCCGGGCCUUGUACACACCGCCCGUCACGCCAUGGGAGUCGGUAACACCCGAAGCCUGUAGUCUAACCGCAAGGAGGACGCAGUCGAAGGUGGGAUUGAUGACUGGGGUG
rnacentral:rRNA from 1 species